UCACUUUAAAUUCAGGAUCGGCGCGCUAUAUCAGCGGCGUCGGGCAACCGACUAUGGCGAUAAAUUGCUGCGUGCAAUAGAUGCAACGGACCCGGGGGCAGUACCCGGCGGCUCCACCAGAAGCGGCGGCCCAUCACAGUGGCAACCGCAACUCCUGAUGGGGCCGAACCAGGAUCGACGUGUGUUGAAAAGCGUAGUUUUUGCCCGGGCUGAGUAACCCGCAUAAGGCUCAAAAACCAUAAGUGCCAACGAUAACGAAGCACUCGCAAUCGCCGCGUAAUUGAUGGGCUAACGCCCUGAUAUUAUAAGGCUAAAAAGCGCGGUUGGACCGACCGGGCAACAGAACGGAUACC
rnacentral:tmRNA from 1 species